UUGAGUUGGAGAUCAACCUCAACCCAGAUGAAGUCAAAGAGAAGAAGUGUAAGGUCGCGUCCGCACCCGAGUUGCCUGUGGCAUUGGGUUGUAUCGUCGUUUCGCUCCGCUGUGCUGUAGGCUCUUCUGCCUGGCUGGUCUGCUGUGGAUUUUUGUCCAUCAGACCAUCUUUUCAUUUUUCAGCUACUUCAUCCAGGGACUGAUACAGGAGGCACAAGGGAACCCGGGUUCGGGGUCCUGACAAUUUGGAUGGUUCCUCACAGCGACUUACGUGCAGUAAUGUAAGAUAUCAGUGAUGCAUGCCAGGUACUUGACUAAAUUACCCAUCCAGGAUGCAGUCUCAAUUGCUAUUUGUUACUAAUUCUUCCCCCUGACACGGUUGAUCAAUCCAUUCAAUCUAGAUUGAACACUGCUUCAUCCCAUGGCACUAUCUAUAAAUUUGUAGGUGGUUGCUUCUAUCAUUCAUGUUGUUUCUUUGCAAGAUUUUUCGCACUUCCUUUUCGAUGAAUAUUUUCACUCGCCAUAACUUAUUAAUUUAUAACUAUUGUUGUAUUCUACAUUGCAGGUUGAAUUUUAUUGACUUCUAAGCUAAAGUAAAGCGGUAUAUUUGCUAAAGUAUUGCGAUAUGCAAAUUGCAUCUUUUAGGCAAUUCCCUCUUAGCAUUGUGCUGUACUUAACCAGUUCAUGAUACUAAAGUUGUUCCAUCAAUCAUAAUGUCUUGGUUCAGCUGA